UCAAGCUUUGUUCACCACCGUCGCAAUUUCAAUUUCGCUGGCGUUAAUUUGAUUGCUUAUCACUGUGUUUGAUCGAUCAUGGUAGUUUUAGGGUUUGAUCUGAGGAAACCAAAAGAUUCACCCUUUUGUUUAUUUAUAUGGGAGCUGGAAUUAGAUGUGGGUUGGGUUGAGUGAGACGAGUAAUGUAGUGGAAAAUGAGGACUGAUUCCGUCGGAAACCUUAUUUUCUUUGUCAAUUUUUGUAAAGAUUGAAUCUUUUUGUGCUUCUUCUGUGUUGCCUCUUUGACAUUUGCCUAGUGGGCGAUUCCUGGUUUUUGUUUUCAUUUUAUUGUUUUUCUCUCCAAUUUUCAUUUCCUGUGUUGAUUCUUUCUCUCAUAAUCUGCUUGUUUUUAGAUUAAUUUGAGCAAGGGAUUGUUAUUAACUUAAUUGUUACUACCCUCAGUGAAGAGAGAUCACAUAUAAUAUUAGACUCUUUUGAAAGGAAAAUACACAAAACAAGUAUGCAACCGGGCAUGAGAAAUAUCAAACAUACAACUAGUUUAUUUUCCAUAGUUCUCUGAUAUACUUUAUUUAGUUCUCAUUUAUUCUAUUCAAAAGCUUUUUUUCUUCUUGCAACUAAUGUAUUGUUUCUGCUAGUGAUCGAGAAAGUAUUAACUAUUACUAAUUUGAAUAGGUUGGGCAAAACUUUGGUUUAGAAGUGUUGCCUGUACAAGGGUAGAGGGGAAUCAGUAUAUCAUCUAUUAUUAUGGUUUCAUAUGGUUAGGAUUUUUGGACUUUUAUUUGAUACUUACUGAUUAUGUGAGGAUAUGUUCACAACUUGCUUUUAACAUGACUCAGUAGCUUGUGGGACAUGUGAUAAGGUUGUAUGAAGGUGGCUCUUGUAUGAGUUAUCCGUGCUUUUAGUUUCAGUAACAUUAAUUGAUGGAACUAUAAUGGUCAGUUGUUGAGAUAGCUUCUACAAGGAAGGUUUGAAACUAAUGAAAUUCCAGGAGUGGGAGCUGGGAAAUAACGUUACUCAGAAAUUCCUAAUAUUUGGGGAACAAGAGGGGUUGGGAUUUGGAGGCGGUUCAGUUUCGGAUUGUACCCUAUGGGGAUGUUCCUGCUUCUGAUGUUUGUACGGUUUGGCUAUGAUAAGUUCAGAAUAUGCCAAGUUUGUACUACUUUACAGGCCUGAUUUUUUUCCCCCCUUCUAAGCUCCUGGCCCAUAUUCAUGGCUAUUUUUCUUGUUAAGUACAAGUGAUAAUUCUAGCUCUUCCAAUGGGCUCUUUUAAAUCUGGAUCUUUUCCAGUUGUUAUUAGGCGUCCUUAUAAGUAAGAACCUUUUUGCUCUCUGCCUCUACACUUCAUCCUCCGUUAAUAUCAAUAGUGACAUAAGUGUGAAGGGGUCUAAGUCUACUGCUCAAUCCUUCAUGGGUGAGAAGGAUUGAGCAGUAUUGAGUUCUUUCUUCUGAUUACCCAUUUAGAUUUGUUUUUUGUUUUUUUUUUCAUCAUCAUCAUCAUCAUCAUCAUUAUUGUGAGCCCCGGUAAUUUUGUUUUGUUACUUUGAAUUUUCUCAGGCUUUGGUUACGAAUUUUAUUUAUGAGAAUUUUAAGUUCGAGCGAGUUCCGAUUAGAUAAAAUAAUUUUCGGUUAAGUUUGGAAUUAAAAGUUCUUGUUGGGCUUUGGUAUGGCCUAGUACAAGUUGAGUUAAUUCCGAAAUAUUUGAGCUAGGAAGUGGUAGUAAGGUUGGAUUUGUUUCGGUGAAGUUGGGCCUAGUGUGAUUAGUUGUAACUUGGGAUUGGUGAGUGAUCAGCUUAUAGGGGAUUAGUGUGAGAAAAUAUAAGUUGUUGAGUCACUUGAGAUUAGGGAGUCCGAAGGUGAACACCUGGCUUGAGACUUCCACGCGUUGAGAUUACCUGCAGACAACGGUUACCAUCUUACUGACACCGCUCUCCACCUAUAACUCUAGACUCUUCCGUCACUUGCAUGCAAACCAUCCUCAGAAACCACAGAUUACACCCAUUAAUCUCAUCUGCAUACACCCAAAACCAAAUCACCUUUCUUACCCACUUUUGUCAAGAAUGGAGAAACUAACCAUGGCAACGGGUUAGAAGCCACUGAAGUCCCCAUCUCCUUCUGUUGCUAGUGUAGAAGCUUGGGCUUCGGAAUUUAGACUGAGAUCAGUUCACUCCUAAGGUUUGGGAUUGGAAAAGAGUAGAGGAUUGGAGCUGGAGUUGAUCGAAAACUUUUGUCAGUUAAAAGGUGGAUUGUGCAAUAUAUAAAUCGAAGAAGAAGGAUUUUGGGUGAAGGCUCUUUGACUGGGUAUUGAUCAAAUUGAGGUUGGAUGUUGGAGUAGUGAUAGGUAGGGGGAGCUUGCUUCACAAAGGUGUUUCGGGCAGUUACCCGAGGAACGGAAGGUUCGUGACUCUCGAACUGCGUGAAAGAUAAGCAUCAGAAUCCAGGUAGGGGAUUCAGGACUCUCCUCGGUUAGUGAUUUUCUUAUAUUGUUAUUAAAUGAUGCAUGUUCGAUGGUAUGGUUUGGUUAUGUUCAAAUGCAAUGCAUACUAAUCAAACCAUGUGAGAAAUGUGAUGGCUUGAGAGCGAAGGGUGGCUCUGACUUCCUUGGGUUCGAUCCCCAAAACCUCCGGAGGGUUAGUUACACCGGUCGGACGGUGAGCGAUCGCAAUGACGACCCGAUCCGUGUGUGUAGCUAGGUAGCGGACGCUCUCGCUACGCUUACCUGGUGAUAAAUUAAAUUGAGGUAAGGUCGUGUAGUGGGUCUAUGGGACCGGCCAUCAGGUAAUAUUUGGAUUUGGCGCCAUAUUUAUUAAAGCAUCAUGCAUCAGUUUUUAAGUUAUAAAAUCUUAUAAAGUUUGUCGUUCCUUGGAAUAUUUGGUUUAAGCAUGUUUUCAUACUGGGAUCCCAAAGAUAUAUUUGCUGGUUUCAAACCUAGUCGUGGUAGAGUUCCUGUAGAGCAGCGAGGACGAAAGCUCACCCCUACAACAGUGUGGAUGCAGGUACUGUGCACUGGUGACGGGACAAUAGCGGACGGAGCUGGGUGUGUGGAACAAGUUCGGGGAAAUUUUGGAAAACCAGGGCAUCCUUCUCUGCAGUAUGAAUCAGAAUCAAGGAACAAGCUCUUUAUCUUCGCCAGAUCUCCCUAUGAAGCAGAAACGUGGACGUCCACGUAAGGAUGAGAAUUUAGUUCAUGGAGAGAGCAUGCCUGCAAUACCAGGACCUGAUAGUUUGAAGAAAAACAAGCAGACUGCCGGUACUAACGAUGAUGUCGAAGAUGAAAUGGUGGGUCGGGUGGUUUCUGGUGUUAUUGAAGGUUCAUUUGAUGCCGGCUAUCUUCUGAAUGUUGAGGUAGAAGACACAGACACUCAGCUGAGGGCUGUUGUAUUUCUACCAGGAAAGUUCACUCCAGUCACUGCAGCAAAUGAUGUUGCUCCUAAUGUUAAGAUGUGCAAAAGAAAAGAAGUUCCAAUACCAGCUGUCAACCUGCAAUCUCAUGUUUAUGGUUCUGCCCGGCCAUCAGAGCAAAGUAACAGGCAACCUUCUGAGGUGAAAAAGCAAAUACCUGCAGUUCCAGACCAAAUUCCACCCCGUAUUCCUCAGUGUGGCAUCCCGGAGUCUCUUAGAAGUCAAUCUUUCUCUGGCAUCCCGGAGUCUCUUAGCCAACGCAUCUCGGAGUCUCUUAGAAGUCGAUCUUUCUCUGGCAUCCCGGAGUCUCUUAGAAGCCAACCAACCUCUUUUGUAAUUCCUCCGGUUGAUAAUUUGCCAAAAGAUGAUGCCCCUACCUUAGGAGGUUAAGUCAUACCACAGCAACAGUUGGAGCCUGGACUUGAUAACCAAUCCACCCAUGUCAUGACAAAGUCCGAGAAUGAUGAAGUUGUUGAACAGGAAAAAGUGUUGGAGGAAGUUGAACCGGCCACAACAAUAACAGAGCCAACUGGUGUAGAGGACGACGUAAAGAGCCUGAAAUUUGAAGUCAACCAAACUCCUCUAUUUGCUGAAGCUGCUCCUGCAAUGGCUAUCAUACCAAGCGUUGAAACUGUAUGCAAGGCUCCUCAAAUUCAACCUCAAGACUGUGGAUACUGAAAAGAGUCAAUUGGUUGAUGAUGAGGUAAAGAGUGUGAACGUUGAACUCAAUCAAACUCCUGUAUUUGCUGAACCUACACCAAGCUCUGUCAUACUGGGAGUUGAGACUGUAUGUAAGGAUCCUCAAAUUCAACCAGAGGAUGUGGGUUCUGAAAAGAGUGCAUUGGUUCAGGAUGUGGUAAAGAGCCUAGAUCUUGAACUCAACCAAACUCCUCUGGUUACAGAACCUGCAUUCACUGCCAGUAAACCAGUUGAGAAUCUGAUGGAAGAAGAGGCUGCACCAAAGCCGAGUCAGGUGUUAGGGGGAGGUACUGUUGCAUCUAUAGGAUCCAUUCCUUCAGCCAUGGGUGAACCUCCUUCUGGUGCUGUUGACAGUAUGGAAUGUGAUAUUGCAGAUGCCAUUCCACCAGCACAAUCUUGGAUCAGCUCCGUAGUACCAGGCUGGUUGGGCCGGUUUUUUCAUUUCAGUCACAAUUAAUGAUUUUUGGAUGAUGUUGCUCUUUUUUUUUUCAGUUGUUUGAUGGCUAUCAGUGCCUAUCACUCCAGUUUAUUUUGGAGACCUAUCUUGCAGACAAUUACAGAAGUUUGUUGUUUUUCGCUUUUCCCAUAGCAUAUUUGAGUUUUUCUAUUGGGGCCUCUAUAUUUUCUCA